rnacentral:rRNA from 1 species
GUGCCAGCCGCCGCGGUAAUACGAAGGGGGCUAGCGUUGUUCGGAUUUACUGGGCGUAAAGCGCACGUAGGCGGACUUUUAAGUCAGGGGUGAAAUCCCAGAGCUCAACUCUGGAACUGCCUUUGAUACUGGAAGUCUUGAGUAUGGUAGAGGUGAGCGGAAUUCCGAGUGUAGAGGUGAAAUUCGUAGAUAUUCGGAGGAACACCAGUGGCGAAGGCGGCUCACUGGACCAUUACUGACGCUGAGGUGCGAAAGCGUGGGGAGCAAACAGGAUUAGAAACCCCAGUAGUCC